UAAGAUGGAGGAACUGGCGAAGUUGCUGACCUAUAAGAAUCACCAGCUGGCCAGCCAAUCAGAGCCGGCGGACGAGGAAAAGAAGAGGAGCGUAUCUCUAACCCCAGAGGAGGAGAAGGAGUUGGAGAACAUAGCAGCUAUGGACAUGGAGCUACAGAAGAUAUCUCAGAAGAUGCAUGAGAACAGGAGUGACUAGAUAGACAGGCAGAGGCAUGCAGACAGGGAUGCUAAGAUACACAAGGUUAGCACACUGAGAUAGUAACAAAAGACUAAAAAGAGAGCUGUAGACUUACCCGUCAGAGUUACGAAAAA